CGAAUCUGCCCUUGAGAGGGAAACAACCUGCCGAAAGGCGGGCUAAUGUCCCAUAAGACCACAGGAUGGCAUCAUCCAGAGGUCAAAGCUCCGCAAGGGGCGCUUGAGGAGGAGCCCGAGGCCUAUCAGCUAGUUGGUGAGGUAAUGGCUCACCAAGGCUUUGACGGGUAGCCGGCCUGAAAGGGUGAUCGGCCACACUGGCACUGAGACACGGGCCAG
rnacentral:rRNA from 1 species